rnacentral:tRNA from 1 species
GGAGAGGUGCCUGAGAGGCCGAAAGGAACAGUUUGCUAAACUGUCGUACUGAGCAAUCGGUACCGAGGGUUCGAAUCCCUCUCUCUCCG